CGGCUGUUACCGCGGACAUCCCGCGUAACAAAAGCCGGGUUCAUCGGUAACGAUAACCCG
rnacentral:sRNA from 1 species